rnacentral:rRNA from 1 species
CGGCGCACGGGUGAGUAACGCGUAUCCAACCUGCCACCACUUGGGGAUAACCUUGCGAAAGUAAGACUAAUACCCAAUGACGUCUCUAGAAGACAUCUGAAGGAGAUUAAAGAUUUAUCGGUGAUGGAUGGGGAUGCGUCUGAUUAGCUUGUUGGCGGGGUAACGGCCCACCAAGGCGACGAUCAGUAGGGGUUCUGAGAGGAAGGUCCCCCACAUUGGAACUGAGACACGGUCCAAACUCCUACGGGAGGCAGCAGUGAGGAAUAUUGGUCAAUGGACGAGAGUCUGAACCAGCCAAGUAGCGUGCAGGAUGACGGCCCUAUGGGUUGUAAACUGCUUUUAUAAGGGAAUAAAGUGAGCCUCGUGAGGCUUUUUGCAUGUACCUUAUGAAUAAGGACCGGCUAAUUCCGUGCCAGCAGCCGCGGUAAUACGGAAGGUCCGGGCGUUAUCCGGAUUUAUUGGGUUUAAAGGGAGCGUAGGCCGGAGAUUAAGCGUGUUGUGAAAUGUAGACGCUCAACGUCUGCACUGCAGCGCGAACUGGUUUCCUUGAGUACGCACAAAGUGGGCGGAAUUCGUGGUGUAGCGGUGAAAUGCUUAGAUAUCACGAAGAACUCCGAUUGCGAAGGCAGCUCACUGGAGCGCAACUGACGCUGAAGCUCGAAAGUGCGGGUAUCGAACAGGAUUAGAUACCCUGGUAGUCCGCACGGUAAACGAUGGAUGCCCGCUGUUGGUCUGAAUAGGUCAGCGGCCAAGCGAAAGCAUUAAGCAUCCCACCUGGGGAGUA